rnacentral:lncRNA from 1 species
CCCAGAUACAUAAAGAACUCCUACAAUGAGCAGAAGAUCUGCAGCAGGCAUUUCUCAGAGGAGAUCACAGGCACACAGAGAACGUGGGAAGAGAUGCUCACCUUCACUAGUGUACACGGAUGUGCACACUAAGAUCUCAGUGAGCUGUGAUCGGAUGCCCUCUAGACUGGUCAAAAGUAAGACAUCUGACAGCACCAAGGGCUUGAGUGGGUAUAGACCACCUGGGACACAUAAGCAGUGUUGAUGAGAGCGUCAACUGGUCACCACUUAGGAAAUCACACGGGCAUUUUCUUGUUAGGCUGACCAUUUACACACCUUCUAACCCUGCAAGCCCAGCCCUACGCAUUACAGAAGAUAUGUACAAGAUCUCCUAGCAGCAUUGUUAAUAACAGAAAAAAAUAAAAUGGAAAUGACCCAAAUACUCAUGGAUAGGAGAAUGCAAAAAUAAGCUGUGGAAUAGUCACAAUUUAUUUUCACACCGUUGAAAAUAAACUACAGCUACACAAGACAGCAUGGAUGAAGCUUAGAAACAGUAAAAUGUUGAGUAAAAAAUGCAAACCUUAGAAGUCUCUACAUAGUAUGCCAUUUUACAAAGCUCAAGAACAAACAAAACAAUAUACUGCUUGGACAUAUGCAGUAGACUUAUGAGCAAGAGAAUGACAAACACACACAACAUUCAGGACAGUGGUGACUUCCAAGGUACGACAAGAUGCAAACACACAGAUGCAAAUUAUUGAGAAGGUUCCAGUUCUGGAGUGAGUGGUGUGUUCACAGAUGCUCAUAAUUUUUUAUCUUUUAUAAUGUAUAAAACACAUUAAAUUUUUAAAAGAUACGAGCAAAGGAGAAAAAAGAGGAGGAACACAGUGUGGAUCCAGACAGAUCCAGUAUGAUGUCCCUGUCACACAGCUCACUGUUUUCACUUUGUGUCACGAUGGGUACCCAGAAGUCUGUGGAGAGGUCAGACUACGAGGCAGAAGGACUGGAAACUGGAUGAGGGCAUUCCCUCCCCUGGGCAUCAGUUUCUCCAUAUGCAAAAUAAGGGGAUUUACCAGGAAUGACAAAUGGCUGGCAUGUAUAGCAUAGAUCUCCCUUUCCUUACCCACUGCAGACAUUACUAAUGGAUUGCAGCACUCUGUCAUGCUGAGCACUUAUACAGCUUUGGAUUCCUUCUCAGCUUGGCACCGCAGGCUGCCAGGGAUGGUGGAUAAGAGAGAUGGCACACACGGUGAUACCUACUUGCUGACCUGGAGAGUCCAUCCAGCUCUGGGCUUGGAAUUUUGAAGCCAGGCCAGUAGGUACCAGUACUCUGAAAGGCAGUCCCUCUCAGGGAGCAGCCCGCUGGCCCUGGAGCCGGCCCUGGCCAGACCUUGGCAGGUGGAACCUCGGCUUUGACAGCGCCCACGCCCAUGGCUUCCAGUCUCCUGGAGCCCCCUGCUGCCCACCCACCAUCCCUCCAGGCCUCCGUGCUCCCACCUGCUGGGCAGGCUCACGUCUACCCCAUGCCGGUGGGCUUCGCUGACUUGACAACAGCUCGACUGGCACAGAGGGCCAGGCGGGAGCUCAUGUCACCAUCUACCCCAGAGGGCACUGGGAGUGCCCACUGUGCCUUAUCAACCAGCCUCCCCUGCAGAAGGACAGCAUUCCUCCCACCACCUUGCCUCCUCAGGCCUCCAGGCCUUUCUUUUUUUUUUUUUUUUGGAGGAAGAUUAGCCCUCAGCUAACUACUGCCAGUCCUCCUCUUUUUGCUGAGGAAGCCUGGCUCUGAGCUAACAUCCGUGCCCAUCUUCCUCUAGUUUAUACGUGGGACGCCUACCACAGCAUGGCUGCCAAGCAGUGCCAUGUCCGCACCCGGGAUCCGAACCAGCGAACCCCGGGCCGCCGAGAAGCGGAACGUGCGAACUUAACCGCUGCGCCACCGGGCCGGCCCCUGGCCUCCAGGCCUUUCGAGGCCCCCAUCUUCCCUCCACUCAGGGCCUCAGCUGGCAGGAGUCCCCCUUGUCCGCACUGCCCAGCUCCUUCCUCCCCAGCGGGGGUCAGCGUGCCCUCCUGCAGACAGCCACACCAGAGUUCAGCUUUCUCACGGAGAACGUAUGUCUGGGGCCAGGUUCUGUGGGUGUCUGUCCCCCACUUUGGGGAGCCCCUCAGAGACCACCUAAUGAUUGGCAUGAAAAUAAUAAUGCCAUCAGGAACAACAAAGAUUCCUUGGAGUCAGUGGACUUUUUGAAACACUCUCUUACUGUUGCACCAGUGUCACAGCCAGUGAAGUCCGCAGUGAGGGACACACUUCACUCCCAUGGUGACAACGAGAAAGUCAGGGCCACAAAGGGGAGAGACUUUCUAGCAUCACUGUCCACCUGCCCACCUCCUGGGAGGCCGGGAAAGCUUUUCUGCCACAUUCCAUCAGGGCCCUGAAACGCCCCGUCCUGCGUGGACACACCUUCCCUCCCCCAGGCCAGGGACUGCUGAGCGACCACAGUCCCAAGUCCCUGAGCAUCCUGCUCCUGCAGAUUAUUUCAGUAACGAGAUUGUAUCGAGGGACAUUAUAUCCAGUGACGUGGUGUUUCUGGCGAUUCAUCUCUCUUCCGUUUUAUUCAUCUUAUGCAAAUUUUAAAUGACUGCUGGGGCUGCGUGUGCAGGAAGUCUUGGUUCGCUAGAAGGAACUGUGGUGGGUUCUUAGAAGACAAGGAGAGGAACUUAAGGCAUCUUGCCGUCUCCAAGGAGCGGAGUGGAGACAAAGGCGUCUCUGACUGCUUCGUCCUGGAACAAAGCGCCAGCACGCACCCACAUGUGGCCCGGGGGACCCCUGAUCGGAGUCUGCCAUGGAUGCCCACUGUGUGGAAGGGCCUGGAACCUGCUAUGAUCAUCACUGUCCAUAGACUCUGAGGAGCAAACACCACGCGCCACUUUUCACUUGCAAAGGCCCAGAAACAAGAAUGCUUGUGUUCCCAGGAAUACAGAUGCCAGAUGUUCACUUCUGGUCCAAACUCAUCGUCUUUUGAGCCUUGGAAACUUUGGGCACACUGCUUCUACCUCUACCAUCUCCCACCACACUCCCCCAGCAAGUUCCCCACCUGGACAACUCCAAUGCCUCCUCAAAACCCGCUCUGAUGCCUCCUCCUCCAGGCAGUCUCCCUUGCCUUCCUUCCAGCCUCUUUCAUAUACUCUUAUUAUGCUCUUUUAUCCUGGCUGGAAUGAUCACAGUGGGUUCGAAUGCUGCUGCUUGCAUGUCUGUCUCCCCUACCAGGGGGUGGGUUUGUGGGAGCCGGGCUUAUGGCUGAUUCACCCCCGUCCCCUCCAGCCCCUCAGCACAGGCCCUGGCACAUAGUGAGGAUGGAGCAGAGCCUCAAAAAAGCAUGAGCCAAAUGCCUGAGCUCUGUCUUCACAGAACUUAGAGUUCAGUGAAAGAGAUCUAGUGACAAAGAAGGGGAAUUGAAGGUACUCUGAACACAGAUCAGGCAGUCCUUUCCUGAGUAGUUCACGUUUAAGCCGAGAUCUCACUGGUGAGUAAAUAUAAACCAGGCAGAAAUAGGCAUAAGCAACUUUCCGAAGAGAGAGAGUAACAGACCACGUUCCAAGGUGGGAGGGAGCGGCUCCUGUAAGUACUGAAAGCCUCCAGCGGAGAGACAGGGCAGUGAGGGAGAGCUUGUGGGCCAUGGGUACCAGUGAGGGGAGGCUGGAUUAUGCUGAGAACAAAUGAGUCCCCAGAUCUCAGGGGCCCACAGUCGGGUCUGUCUAUCUCUCGCGCUACGUGUCCACAUGGUUCUACUGCUUGUCGCCUUCCCUCUGGACUCAGGCUGUGGGACAGUCUGUCUGCAAUAUCGCCAUUGCCCCAGGAGAAGGAGAAGAAGUGACAAAGCGCACACCGGCUCUUUGCCGUUCCUCAGCCCCCUUGCCGUGCCCGAGAGCAACAAGGAGCAGGGCCGCCUAAUCCUCCAGCUGGGAGGAACCACAACAAGGGCACUGAGGGUGGCGAGCCAUCAUCCAGUUCCACACCACGCUUAUGAUUCUGAUGAUUAUCCUAGGAGCCAGGGAAAGCCACAGAAUACAUUCUCUAUUGGUAGCAAGUCACUCUGGCUGCAGCAAGGAGAACAACCCAUUGGAAAUGGGCAAGAGUGGAUUUGGGGAGAAAGAUUGGGAGGCCAUUUCAAUUCUCCAGGCCAAAAAAAGGACAAUCCUUUACUAGGGUCAUGGCAGUGGAAACGGGGAGAAACCAACAGAUUAAAAAGAUAGGAGGAUUGAGUGAUGUGCAAAGGGAAGCAGAGAGGAGUGGCUAGGUGGCCCCAGGGUCAGGGAAAGAACAGAGCAGGCUUGGUUCCUCAUGCCUUACCAGCCGCUGGCUCUGGUCACUUGGGAAGAGGAGUUAGCCUAUUCGCUGUUUGUUCUGGGGUUCCCUGUGUUCUCCUAAUAAAUCUCCCCCUCUUGCUUAGGAAAAAAUGCAUGAGCUAAAUAAAGGAGGGAACAAAUGGAUUAAUAAGGCAAUGAGCUCUGAGUGAACUGACAAAUGAGUGACAGAGUGACCAGGGGAAUUCAUUCAUGUCCCCAGAUGUUCAAAGGAUGAAGAGAACCUGGACUCAACCAGAAGAAAAAGGAAGUCAUCUCCGCUGGGCAUGCCUCAGAGGGCCCCCCCCCCCCCAUACCUCAGGGUCUCCACUCCUCCAGGGAGAUGACCAGUUUCAGCUGCGACAGAGAAAAGAGGGGUGGGCUGGGGGGAGAGGGGAGGGACAGGGAGGAGGGCGAUGGGCGGGUCCGUGGGAGCUCGGCAUCAUCCUCUCCUCCGUCCAUGUGGCCUCCCUGCGUUUCCCUUUCAGAGUCCACAGCUUGACCAUCCGUGGUGGACAGGCUUGGGAGUCACCAACAGCCCAAGAGAGAUUUUCUGUCUCAGCGGCAGCACUGGGUAACCUCACAGAAACUCAGAGCCCAGGGUUCUCACAGGCUUAGAAGGCCCAGAUCCCCUUCUGCCCUGGGCCCCCUUGACAGCCACAAAGGGGAAGGAUUUCGAGGCGCAGCUGCGGGACCAUGGCCUUUUCUCAGCCCAGCCCGCCUUUGGAGCAUCGUGGUCACUGUCCGUGACACUCAUGGCUUGACUCAGAGCAGGAGACACGCUCUAAGACCGAACCACAGUGUGUCAGAGCUGAGGGGGCUCCAGGACCUCAUUUUCCCCAGCACCUUGCUUUGCAGAGGAGAAAGCAGAAGCCCAGAGAGGGGAAAGAAUUCCCUCAGGCCACACAGUGAGGGGCAGAGAGGGACUGGAAGCUAGCCUUUGGACAAAACUCACUGCCUUUGGAAGGCUCCUGGGUGAUGCUCCCUUCCCGGCACAACUAACAGGCCUGAACACUCAGAGUGGCACACAGAAGGUGCUCAGUGGACAUUUGUGGACUAAAUGAUUAUAAUGGGACAAAAAAAGCAGGCCAUGAAACUGGGAGUGGACCUCAAAUCCUGUCUUCCAACAGCAAGUCCUGCUCCUCUUUGAAAGCCCACCUGAGAAGGACACCAGCACAGAGGGGAGUGAGCCAGGCCGAGAGGCUGGGAGAAGCUAUUCCUGCUGAUGGCAUCAAGCACCCAGGCUGUCAGCUAUACGAGAAUGGAGACCUCUGCCUGCUUCUCCAGCUGCUGUGCCCUGUGUCUCGAGCCAGCCAAGCAGGCAGCAGGGCCUCAGUGACAUGCCCUGAGCAAGUGAACACUGCAGACCACAAACAAGCACAUUUCCGGGAGUGCUAAGCGUUGUCGUCUCAUUCGCUGUUUAUGGAGCCCCUCUCUGUGUCCGGCCCUGACCUUGGCUUGAGGCACGGACUCAGCGAAGGAGACAAACUCUGCUGCCCCCAUGGAGCCGACAUUGCAGACGGGGACAAAGAGUGAGCAGAGCACAGCAGAGCCCACGGUGUGCACGCAGCCAGGAGCGUCUUCUCCAAUGGAAGCCGAUCGUGUCACUCCCUGCUCUUGGAUCCCCUGCUCCUUAGAACAAAACCCAAAGGCCUUCCUGUGGAACUGAGCUUGGACUAAUGAGGGAGAUCAGAGACAGCCACUGGCCCAGCCAGUCAAGGCCCACAGCUCACACAAGAGGAGAAAGUCUCACUAGCAGAGCAUUCUGUUACCGGAGCUGACAGCUUUCCAGGCCACGAGCUGCGGGAUAUUUAAGUUUGGAGACGCAGACCAAAAUGCACCAGUGAGAAGUGGUCCCAGAAACAAGGGGUGCUGCUCCAAACCCCCACUCCCCAGCCUCAUUCCCCACCUCUGUCUUGUAUGUGCCUAACACUCCAGCUUCCUUCUGUCUGGGAUGCCUCCUCUCCAUAUCUUGUGGUCAGAGCCGUGCAUCAAGGCCCCGCUAGAUGCCACCUCCUUCAAGACGCUGUCCCGAUACUGGCAGCAGCAGGUGAGCGUGUGCUGUGCUGUGACUGUCCUUCCUUUGUACCGGUGCACAGGUGACUGUACCGUAGUUAGGUCCCUGUCUUGUCUUCCCAGCUGGACUGUGCCCUUCGGGCAGGACCUGUGUCUGAUUCAUCUCUGGGAGCCCAAUGGAGUUUGGCCAAGUGCCCGGCAUUUCGGCUUCCCAGAGAGGAAACCUCAUGGGCAGAGUAUCUGGGGGAAACUGAACAAUUCACUAUGAGUAAAGUGCAAGGAAUGGAUGCUAGUGAAAAGCUCUGCAGGGGGACAGGUCAUAGAGGGUCCCGAAAGCCCACUAAGGCACUGGGACUCUCCCUGAAGGGAAUGAGAGCCAUGGACAGAUCUCAAGGAGAACAACACUCACUGACCACACAUCGGGUUGUUUGGCGUAAAGAAAACCAAAACAGGGGACAUGAAGGGGGAGCGACAAGACUCCCAGCCUGUCCCUAGCCCUCCUCUUACUUCCCCUGGCCCUGCUCUCAGUGUGCGAAGGAAAAUCUUCUCUGACUGGUCAGAUGCUGGGACUGUCCCUGGGCAGUCUCGAGAGCAUGCAGAAAGACUCUGCACAUAGUGCCACCCAGCCUCACGAGAAACAGCCAGGGGCCUCCUGGACAUUCCUCAGCUUCUUAGGAGCCCAUGCAGAAGCUCCCUGAUAGACAUCUGAAACGAUAAAUUCACCGCCUAAAAUGGAAAUACCAGGGAAAGCCCUGGGCACCUGGAACUUGCCUUUUAGAAGCCACCUUUCCGCCAUCCCCUCCAUCUCUCUGGGCUGCUGUCUCUUACCAUGAAUCCUCCUCUACCCCCCAGGAUGUCUGGCUUCCCGUGGAGCUCCCCUGGAACCUUGAGCAGACUGAACAGCCCAGACCUCGGUCAGGACUCUUAGAGGGAGUGCUCGGUGCACUGUUACAAAAAGGAGGAAUCAUCAUGGUGGAAGGGCCAACUCCUGCGUUAUAGCCAGAAAACUCAGCUGCACAUGGGAGGGACCCUUAGGCCGCUUUGACCCUUAGGCCCACACCAGCGCCACUUCUCUGACUCUGCACACAGACUGGUUCAUGGGACUUUGUUAUCUAUUAUGGACCGCUUGGUUGUAGUUAAGAAAGGCCACAGGAUCAGAAGUUUCCCUCACUCCUGAAAAUGUUAGGGAAUGUUAGUAUGCAGUUUCUGCCUUUCUGACCUCACUAUGGCUCACAGCCUUUUCCCUUCAGAACCACACUAGUUGCUGCUGAGAGUUCCCAUAGUAAUUCUAAGUCACUUUUCCAUAUAGUUGUUCUGAUUAACUCCAAGUACUACAUCACUACCUGCUUCUCAAACUGGAGCAUGCGCAGCCCCAAUUCUGCGCAGAGAGGAUGCAAGACAGCGUAUCUGUGAUACAUCUUUCUGGAGCAUCAGGUUUUUUACAAGACUUGGAAAACCAAGUACUUUAUAAGAACCAUCUCUCCUCCCCACAAACAUGGAAGAAAAGAUGGAGAGGACAGGGGAGGGAAGAAGUGCCCCAGGAAAAGCAGUCCAGCCCCUGAAGUUUCACCCUGGUGGGGGCCAAGGGGCAGACCUGCAGCUAGGGUGGCCUCUCCUCGUGUCCCCCAGGCGCCUCCAGCCCGUCCUCUAAGUUCACCAAGUAUUUUGGAUAUAAUGCUUCUGAAGGCCAUGGAGGUGCCAGACACCAUUCUGAUGUGAACCCAGAGCAGAGAAUACCAAAGCGGUUUGCACACCUCCAUCGUCCACUGGACCAAAUCCUCUCGCCCGCACAUCCGUUCACAUAUAGCGUGUACUUCUUGUACAGCUCCCACUUGCAGCUGAAUGUGUCCAGCCUCUGGCCGAACUCCCACACCACAUUGCCAGGCUCUCUGGAGCUCCACAUCUUGCUCUCCAUUUAAAAUGCAGGGGUGCCGCUUGACCUCCCCACAAUCUUUGAUUUGAACCCUGCCAUGAGAUUAAAUUGGCUUCACUCUAUUGUGUUUGCCAUACUGGUUGCUGCUGAGAAGACAAAAACAGAAGCAUCUUAGAAAGUUUAAGAAUCUCCCAGCAGCCCCCCACCAGCCAGAGGGAGAGGCUGGGGUCACCCCAUCAGGCUCCCCAGUGUGGAGGGAAUUUCCAUUGCAGGUUCUCUCUGGGGCUCCUGUUGCUGGUGCUGUGGGUGGAGGAGAAGGCCCCAGGGCCACGCUGGGGGCUUGGACUCGGGGUGGGGGUCCUCGACUCCAGUCUGAGUGGGGGACUGGCAGGCUCCUGGGUGGGCUGCUGAUUUUCUGCCUCAUGGAGCCAGGUGGGUUUGGCUUUAUUGCGUUUCACUGGGAGUGCAGAGACCUUCGGCUGCACCUUGAGGCUUAGGGAGGAGCUGCAGCUCUUGGGGUGAAUGGAAGCGGAGGACCUCAUAGAGAUGGUGUGGCCCUCCAUCUUGGGUUUCUUGGAGCUCAGGAUUAGGUAUGUUGCCAUGACACUGUCAAAUCUCCUUUUCCUUAAGGAAUCCUGGAUCUUGUCCCACUCAAAGCCCAUGUCCAUCAUCACCUCUAUCACCCCGAGGUCCCUGUUGUCACAGGGCAGCUCCCCAUAAGGCCUGAGUUUCUCCUGGCCCAUAUUAACCCACGGGUCCUUCAUGAUGUCUUUUAAACUUUUUCUCUUGCUGGGGUCAAGGGUCAUCGUUUUCUUUAGGAGUUUUCUGCAUUUAAAGGAUAAGAACACAGGAAGCAGGCAUUGCCUUCUCAGUACCCUCGCUUCACUGGAGCGAAGUCGUCUCCUGGGAAAGGCCCGGCCCCAGUGAGCAUAACGUGAAGAACCACCCCAAGGCUCCAGACGUCUGCCCAGCAGCGUAGUCCUGGCAAAAGAAGACUUCCGGGUCAGUGUGACAGGAGCACCGCAGUGCAUCCUCAGCUUCCGGCCAAGGGUCACGGUGCUCAGAACAGAGUCCUCGAGCUUUACAUUCAGCUCAGCGUUCAGAAGUACGUUCUCCGGCUUCAGGUCCCUGUGGACGAUGCCUCUGUGGUGGCAGUACUGGAGGGCCGAGCUGAGCUGCCUCAGGCUGCCUCAGGCCUCCUCCUGCGUCGUGGGGCCGCGCUUUGCUACGUAAUCCGGCACGUCUCCUCUGCUAACAUGCCCCGGGAUGAGCAACGAUGUUUCCUCUGUGUCGAUGACCUCCAAUAACUUUGCGAAGUCUGGGUGAUUGCAGGCCCUUAGGGUGUAGACUUCACGGAAAAGCUUCUUGUUUCUGUAGAAGCUCUGCUGAGGCUUCUCAAUGAUUUUUACAGCCACUUCUGUCCCAGUCGGGAUUUCCCGCCCCACCUUCACUGUGGUGAAGCUCCCUUCUCCAAUGGUAUUGAGGAGCUCGUAAUUGUUAAUACGGGUCGUCUUGUUAGCAGAGGUGGCCUCGAGGCCCAGAAGCAUGUGACCUGCUAACUACACUAACUGACAAUACUAACUAACAAUGCUAACUAUGCUAACAAACAAAACUAUAGUAUGCUAAUAUUAACUAAUGAUCCUAACAAUGCCACCUAUGCUUACUAUGCUAAUAAGUAAUACUAACUAUACCAAGUAUGCUAACUAUAUUAACUAUACCAACAGUACUAACUCUACUAGCAAUACAAAAUAAAAAAUUUAAGGAGGGGCCAGCUGGGUGGUGCAGCGGUUAAGUUUGCGCAUUCUGCUUUGGGAGCCCAGGGUUUGCUGGUUUGGAUCCUGGGUGUGGACCUACACACUGCUUGUCAAGCCAUGCUGUGGUAAGCAUCCCACCUAUGAAGUAGAGGAAGAUGGGCAUUGAUGUUAGCUCAGGGCCAGUCUUCUUCAGCCAAAAAAAAAAGAAAAGUAGGAGGAUUGGUGGCAGAUGUUAGCUCAGGGCUAAUCUUCCUCAAAAAAAAAUUUAAGGAAAAUGAGAAAAAGAACCAGAAAACAAAGAAAAAAGAAAAAAUAAGAAAAGAACAAAGAAAAAUUGAGAAAAAGAGAAAAAAGUGUGAAAAAUAAAACAAGAAAAAUGAGAAAAAGACAAAAAGAAUUUUAAAAAAUGAGAAAGGAGAAUAAAAAAAUUAAAAAGAAAAUAGAGAAAAAUAAGAAAAUAAAAACAAUAGAUAAAAAAGAAAAAAUAAACAAAAUGGGAUGGAAAAAAAAAGAAAAAAGCUCACUGCGGUCCAAGUCCUACAGGUCACCAAAAAUUAGCUUCCUGGGCUGUAAGGAACAAAAACCCAAGCCCAGCCAGAGACUUUAUAGGUGUUUGUAAUUCCAUCAUGGUGGAUCCUUAUGAGCUCUGGGCAAGAAAUGGACCAAUCAUGGCAGGGGAUAAACUACAGUGUUUUUCUUACUUUUUGGUCUCAACACCCCUUUACUGUUUAAAAAACAAAAAAGGACCCCAAAGAGCUUUUUAUUUAUGUGGGAUAUUAGAGAGUGAUAUUUAUUAGAAAUUAAAAUCUGUAAGAUGCUUCAGUGGCCUUUUCAUUUCUAAUUUAAAAAUCUGUAAUAAUUUUUGGCUUUUAGAGGCCUCACAGUGUCUACACUUAAAAUAUUUAAUUCCUUGUCCUUCAACUCUGAUUAGUCUCAAAAUGAUCCCACAACUUAAAGGAUGUUAUAAUACUAUAGGAAAAUGUUCUGUUGGUGAGACACAAGAAGGGACAUCAUUGAUGUUUAUAAAGCUGAGAGGAAGAGAGCUUUCAUCAUAUUUUCCGCAGUAAGAUCACGAGCAGAUUUCUCAUCAGAAACCUUGGAGGCCAGAUGGCAUGGGUUGAUGUAUUCAAAAUGCUGAAGGAAAAAAGAAUCCAACCAAGAAUCCUAUAUCUGGCAAAACUGUCCUUCGAAAAUGAGGGGAAAUGAAGACAUUCCCGUAUAAACCAAAGCUGAGGGAGUUCUUCACACUAGACCUGCCCUCCAAGGAAGGGAGUCCUUCAGGUUGAAACAAAAGGACACUGGACAGUAACUCAAUGCCUUGGGAAGAAAUAAAUAUCUCCGGUCAAAGUAUGUGGAUGAUUAUAAAAACUAGUACUAGUGUAACUUUGGUUUGUAGCUCCACUUUUUGUUUUCUACGUUAAGAGACUAAAGUAUUAAAAAACCCAAUUAUUAGUAUAUGUUUUUGGACACACAUCCUAAAGAUGUAACUUUGUGACAUUCAUAACUGAAAUGGGGAGGAGUCAGGGCUGUAUAGGAGCUGAGUUUCUGUAUUUUACUGAAGUUAAGCUGGUAUAGAUUGACGUUAGAGUGUUACAACUUUACGAUGUUGAGUGUAAUCCCAUGGUAACCACAAAGAAAAAAGCUAUAGAAUAUAGACAAAAGAAAAUGAGAAGGUAAUUAAAUUGCCCUUUCAGUAAUUGUACAAACAAGCUACAUGGCCCUGUCAGCACAGAAAUCCCACGGGACGGCUUCUCUCACUGAACCAUCUCUGCAGAUUGCAGGAGGCCAUCCUGUGCCCCUUUCCUAUGUCUGCUGUGUCAGUGACAGUGUUAUUGAUGUUGUUUUUCAAGCUAAUUGACAGUCUGGUGCAGGAUAGUUUCUCCAGGAUGCCAUAAAGCAGUUGUCAGCUGUCUUGAAGGCUCUGGCUGUCCACAGCUCUCACCACAGCUACACAAUGCCUGCCAGGGCCACAGGCCACCUCCCAUCUCACCACAAGUGCAAAAUUAGAAAUAACACCAAUGACAAUGAUGAUGCGUGACACUCCUUACGUCCCAAGCCCUGAGCUGGGCCCUGACGCAUGUUAUUAAUGAUUUUCAAAGCAACCUAGCCGGUCCAACAUGGUCCUCACUGCAUAAAAGAUGGACUGAGGCUCCUGGAGUUUGCGUUAACUGCCACGGUCACGUGACCAGCUGGCACCAAGGCACGUUUUGAACCCAGAUUUGCUGAUUCUAUCCACUCCACCCACUCCUUGCUACGCCACGCUCCUGUCACAACGUCAACAGCCAGCAUGCAAACCAGCCUCUGUCCAUCAUGUUAGAAGUCAGGACAGAGGUUACUUGAGGGCAGGUGACGGAAACGGGCCGUGGGGGCUUGUGAGUGCUGACAACAUUUGCCUCCUGAUCCAAGUACUGGCUAUUCAUUUGGGAUAGUGUGAUUUAUGAGAAAUAAAUAUUUGGUCAUUCAGAUGAGCAAAAUAUAUUUCUUAUAUAUAUUUGGCCUUCCUCUGUGGUUCCUGGCUUACAGCUCCCAAAGCCCUUUGAAUUUUCUGAGAGAGAAAAGCAAUGGAAACAUCUUUUGUUAUAAUACUGGGUCUCUUGUCCUCCAUUCCUGAAAUUGCUUCAGAGCCAUAAAGGUGAAAUGGGUGACUUGUUAUUCAUAACAAGCCCCUUUCUACCACGAUGGGGUUUAUGUUAAUGAAGUGACUUUUAUAAAGCCCCUAAGGAUGAGGACUGGUUUCCAGGGGAACCAACCUUGAUUAUAGGGCUGGAACUUUCAGUGGUCCCCCCCCCCACCCCACCCCCCCCCCCCCGAUUUGCAGGGAGGGGAGAGGGACUGGAGGUUGAGUCAAUUACCAAUGGUCAGUGAGCUAAUCAAUCAUGCAUACAUAAUGAAGCCUCGUAAAAAGCCAAAACGCAAAAGAGGUUCAGAGAGCUUUCAGGUUGGUGAACCAGAACCCUUCCAUGUGCCACCUGCUGCCCCAAACUCUACGAAGAUGUCUCGGACUAGUUACCCGGAGGAGGAACUCAAGGGUGGGUUUGGACAUUUUAAUUGUUUUUCCAAAUUUAUUUUUCUCCUUUUGCUAUGGUAAGGAGAUGCAAUCACCAACCUCCCUGAGACAGACCAAGCCUCACCAGAGAGCUAGGCCUAUGACCUUUGCCUUAUUUUUAAUGCUAAGAUCUCCUCUCCAGGAGGAGCUUGGGCCCUAUCACCAUAACCUGCAGUGUAUGUGGAAGUAUGUUUUCCUACUGAGCCCGCGCAAGCGAAUACCCACCUCUCCCUUUUGAAUAGUCAUUCCCCAACCAAAACAAAAGAUCCCUGCUUCCCUUUGUUUAGGGACACCAUGACUUUGGAAGUGAUUCCUCAUGUUCUCCUAUUUGCUGCAAAUAUACCUUACUUUGUGAGACUACAUCUGGUGGAGAGUCUGAUUUUACUCAGUGGGAGGGAAGCCACUUUGGUUUCAGUAAUAAAUUGGCAUAGCUCAGGGCCAGUCUUCCUCAGAAAAAAGAGGAGGAUUGCCAGAUGUUAGCUCAGGGCUAGUCUUCCUCAAAAAAAAAAAAAAUAAAUAUAAUAAGGCCGGCCCGGUGGUGCAGCGGUUAAGUUCCCACGUUCCGCUUCUCGGCAGCCCAGGGUUCGCUGGUUCAGAUCCUGGGUACGGACAUGGCACCGCUUGGUAAAAGCCAUGCUGUGGUAGGCAUCCCACAUAUAAAGUAGAGGAAGAUGGGCAUGGAUGUUAGCUCAGGGCCAGGCUUCCUCAGCAAAAAGAGGAGGACUGGCAGUAGUUAGCUCAGGGCUGAUCUUCCUCAAAAAAACCCCACCAAAAUUGGCACCCUGUGGGGCUUACCCCUUUGUGCUGCCUGUGCCACCGCUUGAUGUUGCCACCCCAUUGGGAGACCCAGUGGUCGCACUGAGUACUUUGCUUGGAGGAUCUCUCAAUGGAGGAGAGGGUCACCAACCCCACGACACAGCUAUAAGAGUUAUUUCUUUAAGUUGUCUCACAAAGCCUGCCUGUUGGGGUCUGGCUUCAGAGUUCGAGUCCCCGUCUGGGGGUAGCCUGGCUCAGGGGAGUGAGAUAUCCCCCUGAUUGGAGGGAUUGCACGACCCAGCCACUUCGGAAGGGCCGAUGCUCAGCUCUGGCAAAACAGGAGCAAUCCCUGUUGACUAGUCGGGGGAUCAAGUUCCCUCUGGAGAUUAGUCUCCUCUGGAGUGAUGAGGUGGGAUUAAACUUCCCCUGACGUCACUGAAUCUGUCUUUGUGUUGUGCCUGCGAUCGGAGGAGGGGUUGCCUUAGAUGGGGUCAAGCCCCCUCUGGAGUUGCUGAGUCUGUUUUUGUUUGUUUCUUUCUUUUUGUCAAGGACGCUCGACAUCAACUGUUUUGUCAAGGAUGAUUGACAUCAAUCUUGUUUUCCCACAAUCUGGCUUUUCUGGAUUCUUAGGUCUCCUUUUUUUCCUGGCCCUUCCUAUCAGUGGUCCCUGAGUGAAACUCAGCGUCCACCAGUUUCAUUUUCCCUUUAAGGAUUUAGUUACUCACCCUGGGUCUAGUUUCAGGCUAUUAGGGUGCUAAACCUUCUCUGGGCACAACCUUGUGGCAUCUGUGUCAUCAGUAACCAUUACAACUUGCUCCUGGCAGGUUGGAAACAGACCAUAAGAAAAGAUGCUAGGAUAUGGAGGGAGCAAGCUCCAUCUCGGAGGAAAGCCCCUUGGGCUGCAUCCUCCAGAACUGGAAGGCCUCCAGGUAUUCCCCAUUGACCUGAGAGCAGAUGAUCUUUUUAUGUAACACAGCCUGACUGCAAUAUCCCCUGGAAUAUGGGGAAAAUGCCCAGAAAAAUGGGACCCUAAAAGUUAACACCAUACUACAGUUAGAUCUAAUUUGCAAAGGAACCAAGAAAUAGGAAGAAAUCCCUUGUGUCCAGUGCUUCAUGGCACUAUGUCUAAAUGAAGGGUCAAAAGUUGAAACUAAGACUCCAGAAAUACUUCCCAUAUUACAAGAUCUUUCUGAUGAGGAGGACCUAUUCCUCCAAAUCAGGAAACAGGGGACUAAGGAAAACCCACCUCAGAGUCCACAUCGCUCACAUACUCCAGCUUUGGCCCCACCAUUAGACCAGCUAGUGAGCCCUGAGAGACCUCCACCUUAUUCCCCUCCCUCACCCCUGCUCAAGCCAAACCCUUUACUGUCCCCCCACCCCCACCCCGAGCAAUCCCUCUAGAGGGAAUUGGACUCUACAACAAGCAAAGACCCUUCACCCUCCCCUUCCUGAUAGUACAACUAGAUUAAGAACCAGACACAAACCUGGGAUAGAUCCCCUGGAACAGGUGCCUGAUGGUGAGGGGAGACUUAUUAAUGUGCACAUCCUCUUUUCCACCUCUGAUCUGGAUGAUUGGAAGGCACAGACUAAAGGACUGAGCGCUGACCCAGAGGAGUUCAUAAACCUGAUGAAGGGAAUCUUCUCCACUCAUAGUCCCACCUGGGCAGAUGUUCAAAGCCUGUUGACUACACUCCAUGCCUGAGGAUAAGUCAUCUGUUCUGUUAAAAGCUAGAGAACAAGCAGAUAAUGAAUAUGACACAGGAUCAGACAUCCGCAGGCCUAGUGAGCAGGCUGUGCCAGGGAGUGACCCUGGGUGCAAGCCCAAUGAUCCCGAUGAACAAGAAAAGCUAGUAUAUUUUGGGGGUCUGCUUUUUAAAGCCAUGAAAAUAGUAAGGCAGCCACCCGUUAACUGGUCUAGAUUAAGAGAGGUCCAACAAGGCCCUGAGGAAAACCCCUCCGCUUUUUUUCAGAGGCUUUGGGACUGCCUCAGGUGAUAUAUAAAUUGGGACCCCAAGGCCUAGGGCAGUACAGUGGUUCUUAAUCCCUAUUUCCUAUCUCAAAGUGCUCCAGACAUCCAUAGGAAACUCCAGAAGUUAGCUAUAGUCCUGAUACUAAUCUUGCACAACCAGUACAGGCUGCAUGUAGGGUGUUUGGUAACCGGGAUGAAGCUGAGCAUGGAAAGCAAGACAAGAAGAUGAAAAGGCAAGCUGCCCUGCUAGCUGUGGCCCUCCAGCCUCCUCAAGGUAACCCGAGGGAGAGAAGGGAUAUGCCAUGGGUGAGUGACCUCGGCCCCCACCGAGGGACCAGAAGGCCACCAACAAAGUUGGAGGCUAAUCGGUUGUGCGUACUGCCAACGGGAAGGGCAUUGGUGGCAGGAUUGUCCAAACUGUCCCCAGAGAGGGAAGGGAUCGAAAAGACUGAGCCGUGGCAGCUUCCCUUGACUACAGAUGAGAUGUAAUGGGGCUGUGGGGCUCCCUGGUUGGUUCCAGGAGCCCUGGGUGACCUCGGCAGCAGGAGGAGAGCAUGUUGAAUUUUUGUUCAAUAAUGGAGCUAUAUUCUCAGUGUUGACAAGUAAAAAUGGCAAGUAAUAGGAUAUAUUGGAAUAUAUGAGGAAGCCAUUUGGUGUAAACCUAAUUCGGCCUGACCUUGUCUUUCCAAAAGGGCCUGACGUAGGCCGUUGAGCAUGCAUUGUAUAUCUGCGUUAGACAUUCCCUAUGGCAAGAGCAAAAGGCCCUUGAGAUAAAGGUGCAACUUCUCUCCCCCUCCCAAUGUUGGCAUCUCCUUAAAGAUUAAGCAUCUUUCUUUAGGCUGGGAACCGAUUGCAGCGCUCAUCUGUGACCCCCCAGCCCGAGGCAACACACCUGCCACCCGGCAGUGUUCACUGAGACAGCAGACCUAUCUGCCGUUUCCAUCAAUCACUGUGCUGACAGAGCAGCCUCGUGACUGUUGUGGGAGGGACAUUUCAAUCAUAUGUGAAACACCCUCUUUGAGGGUACAUAACCACCCUGUGUACCCCCACUUCUUUGGAGUGCUCUGUUCCUUUGUGGAAAGACUCUCCCGGGUUAUAAUCCUAAGAUUUAAGCUCAGAAUAAACUCACCCAAAUUUUCAUUUAUAGAUUGGUUAUGGAUUAUUUUUGUCGACAGUGUUGAGUGCCCCAGAGGGAACCCUUCCUAUAGGAAAGUGUGACAUAAAGGAGGUAUCAGGAAGAGGAGAGACCAAAAGAUUUCUGGAGCCCUUGACCUGUGAAAUGGGAUAAAAAAUGCUGAAGCAUUCUUUUCUGUACAUACCAAGAUGCGUUGAUCCCAUUCUAGGGAGGGACAGGCUAUCUAAGUUAGGGCCUCAAUAAGCUGGGAACAGGGGAAUAUAGAUUUGUUCAAAACUUUAGUAUGG